GCUGCUGUCGAAGUUCCAUCUACAAACGGAUAAUACUUUGGUAUUAGUGUAUACGAGUCGUUGAAGGAUCAAUACCAAACUUCUUAAUAAAACAAGAAGUUUGGUAUUGAUCCAUUCGGUUCAGUAGUGUUUUAUUCACAUAAUCAUUUUUCAUUUUCAUUUCUUUUAUUCAACUUAUGAAAACCGCUGUAUUUCAGCAGGAAGGAGGGUGAAGUAAUAAAGACUAAAUUAAAAAAUAAUGAAUGGUGAAAAUGGAAUCCCUUUGAGAGAGGAGGGGCGGAUGUAGCCAAGUGGAUCAAGGCAGUGGAUUUGUGAAU
rnacentral:misc_RNA from 1 species